rnacentral:lncRNA from 1 species
CUCAAAGCCAAGCCGACUGUUGUUCUGAUUGGUCUGCAGGACCAGAGUGCAUUGUGGCCUCUUCCUCAAUACUAAGUACAAUUUCAUCAGCAUCGCAUGUCCAUGCAUGGAUCUGAGCAGAAGCACAAAACCUGGAGACCUUCUUCAUCCGACUUCAUUCUGGUGACUUCGCUUGUCUAUGGUGUUUGCAUGCUGCCUCCAUGACCAAACCAUGACUCCUCGAGGGCCAACAUUGCCUCCUCAUUUCUCUGUAGCCCCAGAACCUGGCAUAGACCAACUGUGAAUGAGUGUCCAGAACUGUGUGAUGGCAAAAAAGUCUUCUGUUGAUUGAAGAGCUGAAGAGCUGAUUUGAGUAUAAGUGUACAUUCAAAAAAGAAGCCCCCAUUGAGCUUUCAGUCACUUUUCCUUCCUGGCUGUGAAUGAGACAAGAGCUUCAGUGAGCAGCUGGAUGAGUAAAAAAGCAUCUGUUCUGUCUUCUCAGCUUCUAUGAGUCUAUGAGCAUCUGGUCCCUAUCUUUAUUUGAUAUAUAAUUCUACAUUUUAGGUAAGUAUCCCAAGAGAGGAGCACCUAGGCGACCUUGUAAGUUUGAAAGAUGCAUCAGUCAUCAAAAUGGAAACUGGAAUCAGGACCAGAUUCCCCCAGAUGUGGUCGUAGUCACCUCUGAAGUAAUGAUGGCCUGUGGACAAAGAAAGCAUCUCUAGCUGGAUUUGGAGAGACGGUCAUGGACUAUAUAGAAAGAUGCCAGUCAUGGGAGCCUCUAUGGCUUAAGGUGACAACUACGAGAUGUCGGCAAAAGCUAGAACAAGACAUUUCAGAAAGGGGAAAAAGGGAUUUGCUCUAAUCCUGGCAUGAUUCCUCGGUGUUCACCCCUAAUUUCAUUAACAACAAGAAGUAACAUAUCAGAAUCUUAAAGCUCCUGGGGGAGCUUUUUCCUCUCCAGAGAAGAUGGAAAACUUGGCUCCUUUCAGUUAAAUCCUGCAAACACCUCAGUUUGGGAGUGAACAUUCUGACAGUCAUUAUGCUAAAUCUUCUUUUAACAUGCUCCAAGAGAAGAAAGCUUUGUUUACUCUAAGCAUCAUGUGUAAACAGAUUCAAUUAAGGAUGUUUUCAAAGAUGUUUCAAUGAGUGCAUUUUUACCACCCAGCAUCUUGUCAAUGUGUUCUGUUUAUCAUGUGUCACUCCAGCUGAAUCACAGA